rnacentral:rRNA from 1 species
CUGCUGCCUUCCGUAGGAGUUUGGACCGUGUCUCAGUUCCAGUGUGGGGGACCUUCCUCUCAGAACCCCUACGCAUCGUCGCCACGGUGGGCCGUUACCCCGCCGUCUAGCUAAUGCGCCGCAUGCCCAUCCUCUUCCGAUGAAUCUUUCCUCGAUCUCGGAUGCCCGAAACCGAUAUACGCGGGAUUAGCCUCCCUUUCGGAAGGUUGUCCCCCUGAAGAGGGCAGGUUGCAUACGUGUUACUCACCCGUGCGCCGGUCGCCGG